rnacentral:misc_RNA from 1 species
GAUGAAGAACGCAGCGAAAUGCGAUAAGUAAUGUGAAUUGCAGAAUUCAGUGAAUCAUCGAAUCUUUGAACGCACAUUGCGCCCGUCAGUAUUCUGGCGGGCAUGCCUGUUCGAGCGUCAUUACGCCCCUCAAGUCCCCUGUGGACUUGGUGUUGGGGAUCGGCGAGGCUGGUUUUCCAGCACAGCCGUCCCUUAAAUUAAUUGGCGGUCUCGCCGUGGCCCUCCUCUGCGCAGUAGUAAAACACUCGCAACAGGAGCCCGGCGCGGUCCACUGCCGUAAAACCCCCCAACUUUUCAUAGUUGACCUCGAAUCAGGUAGGACUACCCGCUGAACUUAAGCAUAUCAAUAAGCGGAGGA